UCUGAUGCCGCUUGCCGCGUGAACGCGGCGUUUGCUGCGUUGACACGGCGUCCAUUUGAGUGGAACAUAAAUAAUCCAGUUGGAAGACAUAUUGAAAAAGUGAAAUAACCUUAACUUCUUAUUGUCUUAGUACCUCAGUAGCACAAGGCUUGUUUCUGAUUAUAGUUGUAAGGAUUGUUUUAACAAGAUUAGAGCAAACGAUGUUUGCGAAAAUGAAAAUUCAUGAGUGGUUAGUGCAGUGCACUCAUGUAAUUAAUCAGCAGAAUGCAGAAGCAGAUCGACGUGAUAAACUACUCAGAUCAUUAGCUUUGUUAUUAGUCGAAAAAAAAAAACGGAGAAACAAAAAGUAGCGUUUGUGGGUUGCACCAAUUUUUCAAAAACGCUAUGAGCACGGUUUUUAUCAUGUCUUGCUGCCAACACUGAAAUUAGAAGAUCUUCCAUAAUUAUUUUCGGAUGUCAGCCACGCAAUACGAAGAGUUGUUAUCUAUAGUAGGUCCGCAUCUAGAAAAACAAUACGUUGUGCGAGAGCCGAUAAGUGCAGCAGAACAAUUGACAUUGACAUUACGAUUUCUAGCAGCUGGUGAUUCCAUGUCUUCAAUGACGUAUCAAUAUUUGAUAGGCUUGACAACUGUAAGCAACAUUAUUGCUACAACGUACAGAAUUAUUUGGGACAAUCUGUGUCCUGUGGUCCUUCCACCUCGAUUACUUGAAAAUGACGCGGAGAAUCGCAGAAGAUUUUGAAGAUUUGUGGGACUUUCCACAUUGCAUUGGGGCAAUUGACGGAAAGCAUGUAAUCAUUCAAUGUCCGGACAAUGCAGGCUCCAAUUUCUAGAACUACAAAAAUAGUCAUAGCAUUGUACUAUUAGCUAUUUGUGAUGCCAAUUACAUUUUUCGAUUCGUUGAUAUUGGUGCGUAUGGCAGACGAAGUGAUGGAGGCAUCUUUCGUGAAAGUCAAUUAGGUCAACAUCUUUGUUGUGUAUGUAAGGAAAACGCAGACAUAUUGUUAGUGACAAAAACUGAGUAUAUUCUCUGGUCGUUUUGUACAAGCACGUGGAAGGCACACAGAAUACAACCGCCAUAGAAAACGAAGACGAAGGAAGGAAUCGGCGCACGCCAACCUAAUUAGUCACUAGGGACGCGAGUUCCUCUCCUCUAAAUGGAUCCCUAGCUUCUAACGCCCGCAGUGGCGCGCAUCUUUGAUCGUCCUAUACUGAAUAUCUAACAAAGACCAAACGGACCGCAAUUAAAAAUUCAUUCAAAAGUAUUCUAGUUUUAUUAGAAAUAAGCUCCCAUUUUUUUGUAAUACUGUCUAGAACCAAUUCCGUAGGAACAUUGGUGAACAAGGACACUACAUCCAAAGAAAUUAAUAAGUAAUCCGAUUCAAAGUAAACAUCCUUUAAUUUUUCAAUGAGCUGAAAGCUGACUUUUACUCAGUUAUAUUUUUAAUAUAACUAGGGGCUUCCAAAAUGGAAUCAUUAAUGAUGUUAUGAAGAUAUAGUGAUAAAAAAUAAAGUGGACUGUUUAUUGAUGACACAAUGAUUCUUAACGGAUUACCUUUUUUAUGGAUCUUGGUUAACCCAUAUGCUCUUGGAAUAAUGCCGUCACUCGUGAGUAAUCUCCGAUAUGUGGAAUCAUCUAUAAACCCAGACAGCACAGUAACGUUUUAAAAAUGUAUUUAAAACGUACAUGUUGGACGUUUUGGACAUAUUAAAAACGUCCAGAUUAGAUCCAUGCAUAUUUUAAAAACGUUUCAAAAACAUCCAGUGUUACCAUUUUGGAUUUCUUAAAAACGUCCAU